UCCCCAUUAGUGUAAUGGCAGCACACGGGUCUUUGGAACCUUUAGAGGUGGUUCGAGUCCAUCAUGGGGAG
rnacentral:tRNA from 1 species